UAUAGCGAGCUACCUUUUGGCCGGGGCUGCCUGCUCCCAUUCCUGCACACGAAUUCCCCCCACACACCACCGCCGCUUAACGGCUUUAAGCGUCGCAUCGUUACAGUCGGUAAAGCCGCGUCGUUAUCACCACCCCCCCCUCUCAUCCACCCCCUCCCUCCCUUAACAUCCUCCCACUCUCCCAUCACCUCUCUGCCGCUAACAGGCUGGAAAUAAACAAACGCCAACGGUGGCGCUUUAACCACAAAUAUGUGAACAGGAGAGGAGGCUGCAGUAUUUCCUCUCGUUUUGGCGCAUCCGUGGUCCUGAUUCCGCAUCCCGAGGUCGGUCCUCUUGCCGGCUUGCGGGAUAAAAGAGGGAUGCUGGGAUGGCGGACGACAAGGGAUGGGAGGCAUGCAGUCAGGAGAAA